UAGCCUAGCGGUUAAGGCUAUGGAUCGCCAAUCCGGAGAUGGCGAGUUCGAUUCUCGU
rnacentral:tRNA from 1 species